UACGAAGGGUGCAAACGUUGCUCGGAAUUAUUGGGCGUAAAGCGCACGUAGGCGGCUUUGCAAGUCGGAUGUGAAAUCCCUCGGCUCAACCAAGGAAGUGCAUCCGAAACUGCAGAGCUUGAGUACUUAAGAGGAUCGCGGAAUUCCCGGUGUAGAGGUGAAAUUCGUAGAUAUCGGGAGGAACACCAGUGGCGAAGGCGGCGAUCUGGGAAGAUACGUGACGCUGAGGUGCGAAAGCGUGGGAGCAACAGG
rnacentral:rRNA from 1 species